UUUUAAAAUAAAUAAACUGAAAAUGAAUGCAAGUUUCAAAAGAGAACUUAAAAAACACUGCAAAGAGUCUGCUUUAAAGAACAAGAAAAACAUCUACAAAAAUGAGAGAGCCACUGUGGAGGGGUAUAGGGGCUGCAUGUGACUCCGGAGCCUCAGGUUGCAGACCGCUGAUCUAGACAAAGUCUUUGACACAAUCCAGGGAGGAGCUCUGUUCUGGAUGAGGAAGUCAGGAGUGAACAUUGGAGAUGUUCCGGACAUGAACAAUUGCUGGAAGACAACGGUGAGAUGUUCUGUAGAUGUGACAGAGUUCCAGGUGGAGGUAGGACUGCUCCAAGGAUCAGCUUUAACCACUCUCUUGUAUCUAUGGUGAUGGACAGACUUACAGAGGAAGUUAGACAGGAAUCUGAUGUUUGCAGAUGACACAGUGAUCUGUAGUGAGAGCAGAUGGAGGAACAUCUAGAGAGGUGGAGGUUUGCCCUGGAAAGGAGAGGAAUGAAGGUCAGCUGCAGCAAGACAGAGAAUCUGUGUGUGAAUGAGAGGAACUAAAGAGGAUCGGUGAGGCUACAAGGAGCAGAGCUGGAAGCCUGAAGGACUUUCUCCUGCACCACCCUCAACGUCAGCCCUCUGCUGUGCACUCCCUCCAUCUCCUCGCUGGCCCCCUCUGUUGAUCACCGUUCAUGAGUUUUCACCACCAAUGCCUGAGCGCCCCCUGCUGACUGAAGGCUGUCUCUCCCGAGUUCCUGGUCCUGCCUGAGCCAAAUAAACUCUUUAGAUACUUACUCCGUGCCUGUGUUUAUUGGGGUCCAAAUACAAAUCCUUUCAAUUCAGGGCCCACAUUUCUGCCACUUUGAAACCAUAUGGGGGCCACUUGGCCUCGCUGGCUG